rnacentral:rRNA from 1 species
CGGCUGAGUAACACGUAGGAACGUACCCCAAAGUGAGGGAUAAGCACCAGAAAUGGUGUCUAAUACCGCAUGUGCUCUAAGGAGUAAAGCUCCGGCGCUUUGGGAACGGCCUGCGUCCGAUUAGCUUGAUGGUGAGGUAAUGGCUCACCAUGGCGACGAUCGGUAGCUGGUCUGAGAGGAUGAUCAGCCAGACUGGGACUGAGAACGGCCCAG